GGGGAUUUAGCUCAGUGGUAGAGCGCUUGCCUAGCAAGCGAAAGGCCUUGGGUUCGGUCCCCAGCUCCG
rfam:Rattus norvegicus chromosome 10, whole genome shotgun sequence.